GGAAAGAUGGCAGAGCGGUAAUGCAGCACCCUGCUAAGGUGUAAAUCGGGCGACCGAUUCGUGGGUUCAAAUCCCGCUCUUUCCG
rnacentral:tRNA from 1 species